rnacentral:rRNA from 1 species
UACAGAGGAUGCAAGCGUUAUCCGGAAUGAUUGGGCGUAAAGCGUCUGUAGGUGGCUUUUUAAGUCCGCCGUCAAAUCCCAGGGCUCAACUCUGGACAGGCGGUGGAAACUACCAAGCUGGAGUACAGUAGGGGCAGAGGGAAUUUCCGGUGGAGCGGUGAAAUGCGUAGAGAUCGGAAGGAACACCAGUGGCGAAAGCGGCUUCCUGGUCCGACACCGACGUUCAGGCACGAAAGCGUGGGGAGCAAACAGG